AAAUUUGAAUAUUGAAAUUCUCACCUACAAUGUGAUGCUAUCAAAAGGUGAGGUCUUCGGGAGAGAUUGCUGGUGAGACAGCAGCCACUGCUCCCAGGCCCGACAACAGGGGCAGCACCAAAGCUGGUCAGUGUUUCCUCCUUACAGGCAGGAGGAAGCUAAAAUCCCACCGUUUUCUCCACUUGUUGGACUGUCUGCCCCAUGAGGGAACAAAAGCUCCAUCGACGAGCGUGGAUCCAGAAGCCCAGGCAAUCAGGCUGGAGCCUUCCUUACUUCUGCUGUCUGCAGUGACCACUCUGGAUUUGGGAUCCAGCCUCCCUGAGACUGUAAACAUCUGGGUGAGAGCCAGCCGUGGCUGAGCCCAUAAUUACUGGCUGCAGCCUCCCUACGGCGGCACAGAGGAGGUCUGAAGGUGCUGCAGAGGAGGGUGCUUCCCAGAGAUCACCCCUGUGACAGACAGAUCGAUUGAAGGACCCCUGAAUGGCUGAAUUGAGAAGAACAAGCAUAUUAGGAGGCCAUACAAUGGGAGCCUCUCAGGCAGACAGACAAAGCCGUGGAAACUGCAGACUUAUUUGUAUGUUCUGGUAAACACCUUUGCUUCAUUUUCCCCGUCUCCGCCUGGACUGAGGGUCACCUCACCUCUCCUGGUGUCCAGAGCCUCCUUCAGGACAGAUGUUGCAAACCUGAGUUCUCACAAACAGCGGGGUCCAGCCCUUCUCAACACUGGAAAGCCCUUGAGCCAUCUUUGAUUUGUGUGUUUUGAUCUAAUUGCACUACUGCUUGCAAUGCUUGUUUUUAGCGGUGAGUGCUGGUUUAAUUUGUUUCUUUCUGGUCUCCCAGCCCCACUCCAGAAUUUUGGCUCCUGGAGAGGAGGGGCCCUGAACUGGCAUUUUCAGUGAAGCAUCCCAGUGCCUUGAAUCCAGUAAGCAGCCAGGUGUCUGUUGGCUUCAUGGUUUAACAACCUACCAUUUGAAGAAUCGCAGAGAUGAAUUAAAAAGAGCCCCGGAGAGGCUCCCCGAUCCAGUUGCACUUCCUGCUUAAGCAAAGUAAAGAAAAACAGGAAUGAAAACAUAACCCAAUGGGUUAGUUCCAUGCUGGCCAUUGAUGAGGUUGCAGCCACCAUCAGAAGAAGGCCAAACGGUUAGAAAGACACGGCGGUGAGGAAGAUGAGCCUCAUUAUCGACUGUCACCUGCAGCCCUGCACAGGUGCUCAGAAUCUAACACUUGAUGGCUGGUUGAGAUUCCCGGAGUCCUAAUUAGGAAUGAGGAGUCAGGCUGGCAGGACCCAGGGAAAGCAAAAAGAGAAGGCAGAGAAGCUCCAAGUCUGCCUGUCUUCGUGAUCCAGAACACGUAGUCCUGCUGCACAAGUAACUCACAAUCUUCCUGUGUCCAGCUGUCAUUAGACCCUUGGCUGAUAGAAAAAUGCAAGUUAGCACACUGCAGCCUCGGUGUCG
ensembl:lncRNA LINC02188 long intergenic non-protein coding RNA 2188